CAAUUUUCAAAAAUUCUCUAUAGACAGAAGGUAGAUUAAAUUUCCUGGAAGAAGCGAGCCCUCCUCCUCCUUCUCCUGUUCUUCUUUCCAUUGCCUGUGAGAAACUCUAUGGGGCUAGGGAUUCCUUGCUUGACAUUCCUUUCUUACAUGGUAUCUAUUUUUUUAUUACCUGCAAUCAUAAUGCCUUGGCCCCACUCAUCAGUGACAACCCCUCCCCCAAGGUAGUGACCUACGCUGUUGGCAAUCUCACUUGGGUAGCACCUGGAUGAGCGUCUACUCCCAGAUGGUUUCCCUAGGCAGCCAGCAACACAGGGCUUCCACCAAGCUCUGUACUUUGAAGGGGACCUGGAAAAAGCCAACAUUGUUCUUACCUUGGAAAUCCAAUACCUUGUUGUCAUUUUGAAUUAAGACUAAAAUCCCCAGGCCAAUUCUUAUGGGAUGAUGUGCACUAAUUGAUUUAUGCAGACUGCUGUAAGAACACUUUAAUGAAGUAGGUAGAAACAAGAUAUGGGAGAGUAGAUAGCACAGGGACACCCAGUGCACGAGGCUGCUGCAGAGGGAACUGGUCAAAACCAGCCUUAAAUAAAUGUCUUCUUUUAGCAUGGUGACACUCUGGCUUGUAGUGACAGGCAUGGCUGGUUCUUUUGUAGUAUCUGUCUCCAUUCCAACCCUUCUAACAGCCUUGUCCCGUCAGCAUGGGCUCGCACACAGAGAAUGCACGGGGCGUGGAGCACGGGUUGUGGGCUUUGGCACCAGGCAGCUAUAGGCCCUUGACUCACAGGCACCACUUCAGUGAGCUAUUGAAGCCUGGAGCUUUAUUUUGUUCAAUUGUUAAGAUGGGGUUAGGAGCCCAGCAACAAGCAUUCAACAGUUGUUUGCUAAAUUGAAUGCACUUACUAACCUCAAUAAGAACCUGGUUCUUAGUAGGUGCUUUAAUCAUUGAGGCUAUCAUCCUGAGGCUGUCAAAUGUGCUCAUAACUGUAUACAGUUAGUGGAACUCGGUCUUUGAAUAUCCGUAGUUUUCAAUGACCGAUGAAACUUUGAAAAUAUUACGGAGUGCAUGCAGUGCCCCCCGGUGGCCAGAAGAGGGAGUCAGGUCUUCUGGAACUGGAUGUUUGUGAGCCACCUUGUGGGUGCUGGGAACAGGACCCCAUCCUCAGCAAGAGCAGGGGUGCCCUUAAACACUAAGCCAUCUUUUUAGUCUCCCAUAGAUAUUUUUAGAAAUAAAAAACUCACCUGCUUCAUGGUGCAUACUCUUCCUCUCGGUGUGAUGAGAUCUGCAGCCGUCCUGCUGUGACCCACCUCGGAUGACAAUCACCUCUUUGUUCAUCAUCCACAGACUUUCAAGUCCCUCUGUCACAACAUGUUCAGGACCAGCUGGGACAGUUAAGACUUAAACGUUUCAUCCAAUGGCACCCGCUAGCCCCAGGAUGAUAUCUGCCGUGCCACACUGAACUUUGCCUGCGGUCUAGAGGGAGGACAGGCUUGGGCCAGCACAGCGCAGAGCUUCAGAUUUUGCCAGACUGUGACUCUAACCUUCCCACUGAAGGGCAAAUGAAACCACACUAAAAGACAACUUGGCUUCCAUCAAAGGCAAGUUCCCCAGACCCAGUGAUUUAGUCAUGAAUGUGAACCAGGCAUAAUGACAAUCAAAUGCUUUAGACCGGGAGACGGCAUGACGUCAGACGUGGGUUGGAAAAGGCUGCCCGUUCUUCUGUGCGAAUCACUCACCUGUGGCGUCUUGAAUCACUGAGAAAAGUUUGAUGACCCUAGACUGUCAUCUCAUAAGGAAGCCCAACCUACAACCACAUGUAGGUCACUGGCUGACAGCCCC
rnacentral:lncRNA from 1 species